rnacentral:lncRNA from 12 species
UGAUAUAUGUGUGUAUUGCUCUACCAGACACACUGGACAGCUCUGCUUGUGCUAAGAAGGGUGGCUUGGCCAGGGAACAAAAUGGCCUCUUCCCCACAGAGAUACAGGCUAGAGAGUGUGUUGGACAGGAAAGGAAAGAGAAAGUUAGCAGAAGGAAUAUGACCAAAACCCAUGCUGGGACUCAUCUAAGCCCAUGUUGUGGCAGAGCAUGGGAAGAGAAAGGGG